UCUGACAAUCAUUGGGUGGUGGAGAUAUCUUAGGAAUUCUGUCAGUGUGGGUAGAACCAGUCUAUCCAACAGGGAUCCUGAAUGAUAGUGGAAACAGCCCUAGGCAGCUGACUAGGAGGGUGGAGAAUUCCAGACCUCCUUCCUUUUUUUCUCUACCUUGUGGCCUCUAACAGCCAAUUUUAUUUUCCUUCUCUAGGUCUCCUCAUGGCAUAUGAAGUGACUGGGUAAGGAUAUAACCUCUAAAAGCCUCCAAGAAAUUCCUGAUUCUGUGAAAGUACAAGUAGGAUGAGAAGUUAUUGAGAGAGGAGCUGUGUUAUUCAAAGUGAAUGUUCACGGGUCAGUGUCAGCAAAUGAUAUCUGUAACAUGUUGCUAAUGCAGGUAAAAUUAGGUUGGAGCAAGAAGAUUGUGAAAUCUCAUGUUCCACAAUGGUCCGCUGAGCAAGUCAAAAUAGAGUUCGAUCUCCAUGAUUCAAAAUCUCCCAAUGGUGACCACACUGUCUCCGCUGUGAAUCUGGAAUGUUUGGGGAAUCCCAUUCCAUCAGAUGGUCUUCCCUCAAGUGUGUGCUACUCCA
rnacentral:lncRNA from 1 species